CUUGGCGACAAUAGCGAGAUGGAACCACCCGAUCCCUUCCCGAACUCGGAAGUGAA
rnacentral:rRNA from 1 species